CUGCAGUCGAACGGCAGCGCGGGGCAACCUGGCGGCGAGUGGCGAACGGGUGAGUAAUAUAUCGGAACGUACCCAGAAGUGGGGGAUAACGUAGCGAAAGUUACGCUAAUACCGCAUACGAUCUACGGAUGAAAGUGGGGGACCUUCGGGCCUCAUGCUUUUGGAGCGGCCGAUAUCUGAUUAGCUAGUUGGUGAGGUAAAGGCCCACCAAGGCGACGAUCAGUAGCUGGUCUGAGAGGACGACCAGCCACACUGGAACUGAGACACGGUCCAGACUCCUACGGGAGGCAGCAGUGGGGAAUUUUGGACAAUGGGCGCAAGCCUGAUCCAGCAAUGCCGCGUGAGUGAAGAAGGCCUUCGGGUUGUAAAGCUCUUUUGUCAGGGAAGAAACGGCUCCGGCUAAUAUCCGGGGCUAAUGACGGUACCUGAAGAAUAAGCACCGGCUAACUACGUGCCAGCAGCCGCGGUAAUACGUAGGGUGCAAGCGUUAAUCGGAAUUACUGGGCGUAAAGCGUGCGCAGGCGGUUUUGUAAGUCUGACGUGAAAGCCCCGGGCUCAACCUGGGAAUUGCGUUGGAGACUGCAAGGCUUGAAUCUGGCAGAGGGGGGUAGAAUUCCACGUGUAGCAGUGAAAUGCGUAGAGAUGUGGAGGAACACCGAUGGCGAAGGCAGCCCCCUGGGUCAAGAUUGACGCUCAUGCACGAAAGCGUGGGAGCAAACAGGAUUAGAUACCCUGGUAGUCCACGCCCUAAACGAUGUCUACUAGUUGUCGGGUUUUAAUUAACUUGGUAACGCAGCUAACGCGUGAAGUAGACCGCCUGGGGAGUACGGUCGCAAGAUUAAAACUCAAAGGAAUUGACGGGGACCCGCACAAGCGGUGGAUGAUGUGGAUUAAUUCGAUGCAACGCGAAAAACCUUACCUACUCCUUGACAUGGAAAGGAAUCCUGGAGAGAUCUGGGAGUGCCCGAAAGGGAACCUUCACACAGGUGCUGCAUGGCUGUCGUCAGCUCGUGUCGUGAG
rnacentral:rRNA from 1 species